rnacentral:rRNA from 1 species
UGGGGAAUAUUGCACAAUGGGGGAAACCCUGAUGCAGCGACGCCGCGUGAACGAAGAAGGUAUUCGUAUCGUAAAGUUCUGUCCUAUGGGAAGAUAAUGACAGUACCAUAGAAGAAAGCUCCGGCUAAAUACGUGCCAGCAGCCGCGGUAAUACGUAUGGAGCGAGCGUUGUCCGGAAUUAUUGGGCGUAAAGGGUACGCAGGCGGUUUAAUAAGUCGAAUGUUAAAGAUCGGGGCUCAACCCCGUAAAGCAUUGGAAACUGAUAAACUUGAGUAGUGGAGAGGAAAGUGGAAUUCCUAGUGUAGUGGUGAAAUAAGUAGAAAUUAGGAGGAAUACCAGUAGCGAAGGCGACUUUCUGGACACAAACUGACGCUGAGGUACGAAGGCGUGGGGAGCAAACAGG